UAUUGCACAAUGGGGGAAACCCUGAUGCAGCGACGCCGCGUGAGCGAAGAAGUAUUUCGGUAUGUAACGCUCUAUCAGCAGGGCAGAANNUGACGGUACCUGACUAAGAAGCUCCGGCUAAAUACGUGCCAGCAGCCGCGGUAAUACGUAUGGAGCAAGCGUUAUCCGGAUUUACUGGGUGUAAAGGGAGCGUAGGCGGUAAGGCAAGUCUGAUGUGAAAGGCCAGGGCUCAACCCUGGGACUGCAUUGGAAACUGUUUAACUGGAGUGUCGGAGAGGCAAGUGGAAUUCCUAGUGUAGCGGUGAAAUGCGUAGAUAGUAGGAGGAACACCAGUGGCGAAAGCGGCUUGCUGGACGAUGACUGACGCUGAGGCUCGAAAGCGUGGGGAGCAAACAG
rnacentral:rRNA from 1 species